rnacentral:lncRNA from 1 species
GCUAUUGACAAAUAGGAAUACAAGAUAGAAAAGGAGCAGAGAAAAGCACACUAAUGGAAAUGAAAUGAUCAUAUACAUCAAAAAGUCUGUUGGGAAUCAUGAUCCUCUUUGAUUGAGCUCAGUGAUGUGGACUCUUCCUGAAGAGGUAGGUUGUCCUUGUGUCUUUGUUUUGGCUGCUUGAUAUUAGAGAGGAAACUUUUCACGUAGGCAGACUGGAAACACCCAAAGCAGAAAAUACACGAACCCAGAAUACAGGAGCAAAGUUACAGUCCAAGAGCAUAAGUGCUAGGAUACCCAGAGGAUGGGUAAGGCAGGUGAAUGGGGUGAAGGAAAGUCCCCAGCAUAUCCUGCCACAGGACGGAGGCCAGGCCAGCCCACCUAACAGCAGCAUUGCUUCUGGCAGCAGCACUUCUGCUGGCAACAGCUCUUCCCACAGCCGCAGCCACAUGAGCGGCAGGUGCGGCGGCAGCAACAGAUCACGGGAGUGCUGCAGCAGCCUCCACAGCAGCCACGGCAGCAGGGGCAGCAGCUGGAGCAGCAGCCCACCCGGUAGCACCUGCAGGUGGUGCAGCUGCCACAGCUACCACCACAGCCACCACCGCAGCCACCACCGCAGCCACCACCACAGCCACCACCACAGCCACCACCGCAGCCACCACCACAGCCACCACCACAGCCACCACCGCAGCCACCACAGCGGCCACCGCAGCCACCACAACCUCCACAACCACAGCAACCCAUGGUGUCAGUAGAGAGGACUCAGGUGAAGUGAGGAGGACUCAGGAGAGGUGAGG